AAUCAUUUAGCUAUAAAUAAGUAUAUACCUUGAAAGUAUAAGAAAGAAAAUACUCUAAUGAUUU
rnacentral:tRNA from 1 species